AAGGACGUCGUUGCUGGCUGGCCCGGUGUGACGACACAAAUAGCGACCCUCCCCUGUUGCAUCUGGGUUCAGUUUCCGCCAGGCAAACAUGACCGCCUUGGCUACUGCUCUGGAGCUGUUCAUGUCGUUACACCGGCGCUGAAGGCUCCGGACUAGUCUCGGGGCGGGCGGCUUCGCCAUGGAGGAGUACUGCGGGUUCCGCGUGUCAGCCGUGUGCCUGGACGAGCCCCCCAACAGCCGCGUGUUCCUGGUGCUGGGGAAGGACACGGGGGAGGCGCUGAUCCGGGAGCGCUUCGCCCCGUUCGGGGAGAUCCAGGACAUCUGGCUGGUGCGGGACAAGCGCACCCACGAGUCCCGCGGCAUCGCCUUCGUCAAGUUCGCCCGCAGCUCGCAAGCCUGCCGGGCCAUGGAGGAGAUGCACGGCCGGAGCCUGGCGCCCGACACCAAGGCCAUCAAGGUGUUCAUUGCCCAGUCCAGAGCUUCCGGAAGCCACCGAGAUGUUGAAGAUGAAGAGCUUACACGCAUCUUUGUUAAGAUACCAAAGUCCUAUACAGAGGAAGAUCUGAGGAAUAAGUUUAAGGUGUAUGGAGACAUUGAAUAUUGUAGCAUUAUUAAGAAGAAGACCACAGGAGAAAGUAAAGGUUUGGGCUAUGUGAGGUAUUUAAAACCAUCCCAAGCUGCCCUUGCAAUAGAAGAGUGUGAUCGAAGUUACAGGGCCAUUUUGGCUGAACCUAAAAACAAGCCGUCUGAAUCCUCUGAAUGUGACUAUUACAGUAGUAGCAGUAGUAUGAGGCAGGAGCCAAUGGGGCAUGAACCUAGAGGGAGUGUGUUUCCCUUCGAAGGGCAGCCAGAAUUUGGUAGUUUUGAAAAGAGUCAGACGAGAGUUCGAGAAUCCGUUUCCAAACGCCUGUCAGUGGUAUCGCGACUCCCCUUCGAACAAGAGCGGCUGUUCUUCCUCUUUGAUCUAGUCCCAGGACUGGAGUAUUGUGAUGUUCAGCAAGAUCCGCAUACUAACCAUGGGCAUGCUGUGAUUCAGUAUACUACUGCAGCAUCAGCUAUAUAUGCCAAAUACAAGCUACAUGGUUUUGAAUAUCCUCCUGGAAAUCGUCUAGGUGUUGCUUUCCUUGAAGAUGGGAGCAACGGACUGGACCACAUCAGAAAAAUGGCAACACAGCUGGUGACUUCACAGGUGUCAUCAAUGGUGUCACAUAAUAAUCUAGUUGGUCAGCAAUAUACAUCUUCUCAACCUUGCAGUGGAAGUUCUAGUUCUCCGUUAUCUCAGCCCCAAACAGAUGCUGUACUUCCAUCACGCAAAAAAAAGGUUCCACCUGAGACUUCUAUGAAGGAAAGGCUUUUCAUAGUGUUUUAUCCUCGUCCCUUACCUGUAAAUGUGUUGGAGGAUGUAUUCUGUCGGUUUGGACAUCUUAUAGAAGUUUACCUUGUGUUAGGAAAAAAUGUGGGCUAUGCUAAGUUUGCAGACAGAACAAGUGCUAGCGAUGCCAUAACUGCAUUACAUGGCAAGAUUGUGAAUGGUGUCAGGCUUAAAGUAAUGUUGGCAGAUUCCCCUGCAGAAGAAUCUAACAAACGUCAAAGAACUUACUGACCUCAUGGGGCAUCUGAGCAGGAGGAUUAGAACAGAUAUUACAGGGAUUACAAAAACAUGGUGGAAUAGCACUCAUGACUGGAAUAUAGCUAUUGAAUGGUCAGAGUUUGGGAAAUUUAAGAGAGUUAGUUAAAGAAGUCAACUGGACUAAAGAGCUCAAGAACUUAAAUGUGGAAGAGGCUUGGAAUUUCUUCAAAUCAACUAUCUGAAAUUUUAAUCCCAAGCAAAGGAAAAAAAUCUUGUAUGCAAAGGCACCAGCCCAAGCUGGAUGAAUAACCAGCUCAAAAAGGGAUAAGGGAAGUGCCAUAAAUUGGUGUACUUGAACUUCAGUAAAACAUUUCACAUGGUGCCACAUGGGAAUUUAUUGGAAGAUGGGGUGCAGUACAAGAAUUGUAAGGUGGAUAGGUACAGUAACUCCUCACUUAACGUUGUAGUUAUGUUCCUGAAAAAUGUGACUUUAAGCGAAACGAUGUCAAGCUAAUCCAAUUUCCUCAUAAGAAUUAAUGUAAAUGAGGGAAAAGACACACAC